UGGCCGUUUCAAACCGGGUGGGGGUUGGCUGCCCCUGACCCUAGUGUUACGCUAGAUAGGGAGACGGCGAAGGGCCUUCGGGAGUGGGCCCGUCUCGGGCUAAAAUGCCACCACUAUUUGACGGAGGCCAAGCUCAUCUAGGCCGACCUGAGUUCGGGUAGGUUCCUCGGGCAUACUACCUGUUUUUUUUUUUGAUGCUGAGCUCUCUCUUGCUUUUUGCAGGUGCGAUGGACUCAAAAAAGACUCGCGGUGGGAACCUGUUUCAUGCUAUGAAGAGGAUGAAGCGAGUUGCCAAGCGGACUCGUGCCGAACUGCCCCGAGAUGCGGAGCCCAAGGUGGCCCCUCUAGUACAAAAAGCGGCAGGGGCCCCUUACGCCGAGGCUACUUAUACGGGGGCACCUCACACCGAGGUCGCUUAUACCCGGGCUAGGCCUUCAGGCUUGGGAGGCCGAUGCCAGCUCAGGAGCGUGCUGUCACUGAACCAAGCUCUCCAAAAAAGUAAGGAGGCCUGUUACCUUGAGGAGGUCGCGGCAUGGGCCGGGCUUCCUUUGAACCAUGUGGCCGGGCGUGCUGCUUCUUACGCUAUGGUGGUGAACUCCUCCAUCCAUGCCUUAGCGGCCCAAGCGGAAAGAAGCUCGAGGCGGGCGCGAGCUACCGAAGAGGCUUACCGAGUUGCCGAAGCGGCUUCUCACGCUGCACAGGCCAGGCUGGUGAGGUCUUAGAGAGACAUCGAGGCCAUGGGAGUGGUGGUGAAGCACAUGGCGGACCUGAGGCUGGACUUGCAGCGUUAGGUCGAAUACCUUCAGGAGGACAUUCGGGAGAGGACCGAGAUCUUUUCUCAGGGCAUCGAGGAUGCCAAGAAGAAGGUCGUCGAAGACUAUAUCGCCUCGCCGCGCUUUGACGACCUGAUGGUGGGCUCGUACAGAAGGGGUUUUAAAUUGAGCCGGUGAAUGAUCCGGAAUACGUACCCCGAGCUCGAUAUUAGCACCAUAACCACUUCGCGCAUUACUCAGGAGAUGGCCAACGCUGCUGACGGUGAACCGGACUCUGAGGAUGAGGCAGGACCUUCGGGUAUCGUUGAAGUGCCUUCCGAUGGUGAAGAAGUACCUCCAGGCCUGUGAGCUCGCUUCUGUUGUUUUUUUUUUUGGAAUGUAAACGAAGUAUCUCGCAAUGGAAUGUUCUUCUUUUGGUUAA